rnacentral:rRNA from 1 species
UACGGGGGGAGCAAACGUUGUUCGGAAUCACUGGGCGUAAAGGGCGUGUAGGCGGCUGGAUAAGUGGGAUGUUAAAUCCCCCGGCUCAACCGGGGACCUGCAUCUCAUACUGUUCAGCUCGAGCACAUCAGAGGAGACUGGAAUUCCCGGUGUAGCGGUGAAAUGUGUAGAGAUCGGGAGGAACACCGGUGGCGAAGGCGGGUCUCUGGGCAAUUCCUGACGCUGAGGCGCGAAAGCGUGGGGAGCAAACGGG